UGCUAAUACCCGAUGUGCCGAGAGGUGAAAGAUUUAUCAUCUGAAGAUGAGCUCGCGUCCGAUUAGCUAGUUGGUAAGGUAAGAGCUUACCAAGGCGACGAUCGGUAGCUGGUCUGAGAGGAUGACCGCCACACUGGGACUGAGACACGGCCCAGACUCCUACGGGAGGCAGCAGUGGGGAAUUUUCCGCAAUGGGCGAAAGCCUGACGGAGCAAGACCGCGUGAGGGAGGAAGGCUCUUGGGUUGUAAACCUCUUUCUCUGGGAAGAAGAUCUGACGGUACCAGAGGAAUCAGCAUCGGCUAACUCCGUGCCAGCAGCCGCGGUAAUACGGAGGAUGCAAGCGUUAUCCGGAAUUAUUGGGCGUAAAGCGUCCGUAGGUGCGGUUCAAGUCUGCCGUUAAAACCAGUAGCUUAACUACUGACAGGCGGUGGAAACUGAACAGCUAGAGUGUGGUAGGGGUAGAGGGAAUUCCCAGUGUAGCGGUGAAAUGCGUAGAGAUUGGGAAGACACCGGUGGCGAAAGCGCUCUGCUGGACCACAACUGACACUCACAGGACAAAAGCUAGGGGAGCGAAUGGGA
rnacentral:rRNA from 1 species